UACAGAGGUCCCAAGCGUUGUUCGGAUUCACUGGGCGUAAAGGGUGCGUAGGCGGUUCCGCAAGUCCUGUGUGAAAUCUUCGGGCUCAACUCGAAGUCUGCACGGGAAACUGCGGGGCUUGAGUGAGGUAGGGGUGUGUGGAACUUCCAGUGGAGCGGUGAAAUGUGUUGAUAUUGGAAGGAACGCCGGUGGCGAAAGCGACACACUGGACCUUGUCUGACGCUGAGGCACGAAAGCCAGGGGAGCAAACGGG
rnacentral:rRNA from 1 species